GAUGAACGCUAGCGGCAGGCUUAAUACAUGCAAGUCGAGGGGCAUCAAGGUACACGAAAGUGUAUUGUUGGCGACCGGCGGACGGGUGAGUAAUAGGUAGGUAACCUACCUCAUACUGAGGCAUAGCUGGGAGAAAUUCCAGGUAAUUCCUCAUGAGGUUAUAUGACACAUGUGAUAUAAUCAAAGGUAUCGCAAGGUACUGGUAUGAGAUGGGCUUACUGACCAUUAGCUAGUUGGUGAGAUAAGAGCUCACCAAGGCGAAGAUGGUUAGGGGUUUUGAGAGAGAGAUCCCCCACAUUGGAACUGAGAUACGGUCCAGACUCCUACGGGAGGCAGCAGUAGGGAAUAUUGGGCAAUGGGCGGAAGCCUGACCCAGCCAUGCCGCGUGAAGGAAACGGCCUUAUGGGUUGUAAACUUCUUUACUAUGCGACUAACUAGAUUUACGAGAUAAUUCUAUAGAAUGUAGCAUAGCAAAAAGCACCGGA
rnacentral:rRNA from 1 species